AACGAACGCUGGCGGCAGGCUUAACACAUGCAAGUCGAACGCCCCGCAAGGGGAGUGGCAGACGGGUGAGUAACGCGUGGGAAUCUACCGUACCCUACGGAACAACAGUUGGAAACGACUGCUAAUACCGUAUACGUCCUACGGGGGAAAGAUUUAUCGGGGUAUGAUGAGCCCGCGUUGGAUUAGCUAGUUGGUGGGGUAAAGGCCUACCAAGGCGACGAUCCAUAGCUGGUCUGAGAGGAUGAUCAGCCACAUUGGGACUGAGACACGGCCCAAACUCCUACGGGAGGCAGCAGUGGGGAAUAUUGGACAAUGGGCGCAAGCCUGAUCCAGCCAUGCCGCGUGAGUGAUGAAGGUCUUAGGAUUGUAAAGCUCUUUCACCGAUGAAGAUAAUGACGGUAGUCGGAGAAGAAGCCUCGGCUAACUUCGUGCCAGCAGCCGCUGUAA
rnacentral:rRNA from 1 species